CAAAAUGAAGGAAAUUAAGUCUGUGACCUCAAAAUUUCCCAAGAGGAAGGACACCCAGACGCCCCAAUUUAAUAUGUCCAUUCUGAUUGUAUAACAAUA